rnacentral:tRNA from 1 species
GGAUCCGUGGCGCAAUGGUAGUGCGUUUGACUCCAGAUCAGAAGGUUGCGUGUUCGAUUCACGUCGGGUUCA